rnacentral:rRNA from 1 species
GAUGAACGCUGGCGGCGUGCUUAACACAUGCAAGUCGAACGGAAAGGCCCAAGCUUGCUUGGGUACUCGAGUGGCGAACGGGUGAGUAACACGUGGGUGAUCUGCCCUGCACUUCGGGAUAAGCCUGGGAAACUGGGUCUAAUACCGGAUAGGACCACGUCCUGGAUGUUGUGGUGGAAAGUUUUUUCGGUGUGGGAUGAGCGCGCGGCCUAUCAGCUUGUUGGUGGGGUAAUGGCCUACCAAGGAGUCGACGGGUAGCCGGCGGGAGAGGGUGUACGGCGACAUUGGGACGGAGAUACGGCCCAGACUCCUACGGGGGGAAGCAGUGGGGAAUAUUGCACAAUGAGCGCAAGCCUGAUGCAGCGACGACGCGUGGGGGAUGACGGCCGUCGGGUUGUAAACUCCUGUCGCUAGGGACGAAGCGUUUUUGUGACGGUACAUGGAGAAGAAGCACCGGCUAACUACGUG